AAUAGAUAUUUUUUUCUACGUCAGAUUUGUGGUCCCGAAACUACUGUUCCGACUAGACCCAAAAUCGGGCUAUUACACGGCCAGUGAGAUGGUUGGGGAUAAGCUUCGUCAUCGAGAGGGAAAUAGCCUAGAUCACUAGUUAUGGCCCCUAAAUUACCGUUCAAUAAUAAAGAAGGUAGGGUGCAGAUAUAGCCAAGACGUUUUCCUAGAAGUAGCCACCCUUGAAAAAGUACAUAAUAGCUCACUGGUCGAGCGAUCUUGCACCAAAUAUGAACGGGCUAAGUGAUCUACCAAAGCUGUGGGAUGUAAAAAUGCAUUAGUU
rnacentral:ncRNA from 1 species